GGUUCGAUGGUGUAGUUGGUUAUCACGUCUGUCUCACACAAUCUGCUCGACUGGGCAGGUGAGGACACAGGAGGUCUCCGGUUCGAACCCGGGUCGAACCA